GAUGAACGCUAGCUACAGGCUUAACACAUGCAAGUCGAGGGGUAACGAGAGGGAAGCUUGCUUUCCUUGUCGACGACCGGCGCACGGGUGAGUAACGCGUAUCCAACCUGCCCCCAACUAAGGAAUAACCUUGCGAAAGUAAGACUAAUACCUUAUAAUAUCCUCAGAUGACAUCUGACGAGGAAUAAAGAUUUAUCGGUUGUGGAUGGGGAUGCGUCUGAUUAGCUUGUUGGCGGGGUAACGGCCCACCAAGGCAACGAUCAGUAGGGGUUCUGAGAGGAAGGUCCCCCACAUUGGAACUGAGACACGGUCCAAACUCCUACGGGAGGCAGCAGUGAGGAAUAUUGGUCAAUGGGCGGAAGCCUGAACCAGCCAAGUAGCGUGCAGGAUGACGGCCCUAUGGGUUGUAAACUGCUUUUAUACAGGAAUAAAGUUAGCCACGUGUGGUUAUUUGUAGGUACUGUAUGAAUAAGGACCGGCUAAUUCCGUGCCAGCAGCCGCAGUAA
rnacentral:rRNA from 1 species